rnacentral:rRNA from 1 species
UACGUAGGGCGCAAGCGUUGUCCGGAAUUAUUGGGCGUAAAGAGCUCGUAGGCGGCUCGGUAAGUCAGGUGUGAAACCUCCAGGCUCAACCUGGAGACGCCACCUGAUACUGCUGUGGCUAGAGUCCGGUAGGGGAGCGUGGAAUUCCUGGUGUAGCGGUGAAAUGCGCAGAUAUCAGGAGGAACACCAGCGGCGAAGGCGGCGCUCUGGGCCGGAACUGACGCUGAGGAGCGAAAGCGUGGGUAGCAAACAGG